rnacentral:misc_RNA from 1 species
CAGCCACAGAAGACGGCCUUUUCGGCUUCUUUUCUCUCUUUUAAACUGUUUUGUCUUUCCUUCUCGUCGCCAGCUCGUUCGCGUGUAUGUGGGCCAACGUGGGCGUCGCUCCUGCCUCCUGCCCCCGCCUGUGCCUGCUCCCUUAGCUGCAGAGGACUGGAUACAUCGACUUGGCACCUGGGUGCACGCAGCGCCAGCGACCUCGGCGCACACGUGGCCGAUAGUGACAGAUACACCUACACACCCUCCCACCCACCCACGAACACUGCGCCUAUGCCUUCGAGCAGCACCAUUGCAGUAGACGCCGCGGCUGCACUGCGUCAGGCGACCGUGGCAGACGCCUUUAACGUUGCAGAGACAGCAGCACCUGGGGCGGACGAUGUACAGAUAGCGCAUGCAGCUUUACCCCCCGCCCCCGCUCCCGCCGCUGCCGCCGCUGCACCUGGAAACGCGAGCGGCGCUCCUAGGCUGAGUGCACCACAGCUGAACUGCCAGGCAGCAGUGGUGCGCAUUGGUGACAUGUUUGGGGAGUUCUCGUGCAGCGUGUUCCGCGUGGGUGCUGGCAGCAACGCUUGCGGCGCCAAUAAUCCGUCUUUACACACAUCGCGGGCAGCCGCAUCUUCGCGUGCAUUUUACAAGCGUGGUGGCGCGUCCAUGCCCUCGCCGGCGGCCGCAACGCUGACGGAAAUGGCGGCGAACUGCCAGCACGACAGCCAGCACGAAGGCGCCGCCGCUGCCGCCGCCGAUGCUAUCGCCACACGAGACGUGCCGCUUGGCACGACGUCGACCGUAGCGGCUGUAGAUGGUUCAGCGACAGCAGACGUGGGCUUUCCUGUCAAUUGCGAGGCGGAGGGGGUGCCUCGGUGGGAGCUGCUCAUCUACGCGGUACUGCACGAAGAGCAGGGCGGUGGCGCCGGCGCCGCGGCGUCGUCUGGCGCUCGGAACCGGUACCGCGGUGAGCACACCAGUGCUGCUCCUCAACUCCCUGGCGAUGCGUCGACAGCAGCAGAUGGCAGCAGCGAGGAUGGCGGUGAUGACGAGUGCCCCCUGCCGGAUGGCGCCAAGUUGUACUUUCAGCAGACAAUGCCGACGACGAAGCUGUCCAAGGUGGUAAAGCUGGAGGCGGGGCGGCGUUAUACUGUGCGCGUGCGUUGCUAUAGCCGAGCCGAUGUGCGCUGGAGUGCGUGGUCGGCACCGAUACAGACCGCCACACUGUUUCCCGUCGAGACGCGCCUUGGCGAGAUCGGCUCUGACUACGUGCACUGCACUUGGGACCGCUCGGCGCAGCGCAACGAGGACGGGCUGGCGCACGAGACGGAUGCCGCGACGACGGAGUGGGCGCGCAGCAUCCCUGACUUUGAGCUACGGCUGCUGCGAGAGUCCGACAUGGCGGAGCACUACCACGGCACUUUCGAGGCCGGCUGCCGCUCUGCCACCAUACGCGACUUACAGUCUGGGACUCGCUACAUUGUUCUCAUGCGGUACCGCACCGUCAUUCGCACCAUGCGGGAGUGGACAGAGGCCACGCGGCUGAUCACGGAGAGUGCGCUGGAGGUGCGACUCAUCGCUCGCGGCGAGGACAUCUUUACUUUCUCCUGGGCCCGCGAAGCGCAGGAGGGUGCCGCGAAGGCGCCAGCGAGCAAACGCACUUCGACCACCGUUGCCAAUGACCCGCUGUUCGACGAGGCGCGCGACGACGAUGCCGCCGUCGCCGCCUUCGGCUACCUGCAGCCACGAACGGCUGUGCACGAGUACGAGCUCACCAUCGAGAGCCCCGGGCUGCGCUUUGACCCGAUCACGGUGCCCGCCUCCGUCUGCCAGUACACAAUGACAGACAUGUUCCCGAGCACAACGUACUCGGUCUGCGUGCGCGCGCUUUCGGCGGAGGGGCGGUGGAGCGGCCGCUCCGCCCCGCUCAAGCUGCGCACGGCGAUCCGUCCCGUCGUAUCGGUGGCCGUGAUUGGAGAGUCGUUCGCGUCGUUUAUGUGGUCGCGUAAGGGUGGGGAGGAGCCACACGAGUCUCAGCUGCAGUACCGCGUGCAGAGCAUGACCUCUGCGUACCACCAAGCCGAGACCGUUGACCUCGCACCGUCGUCGUCGCCGACGGGGCAUCCGCGCCGCUUGCUGCACAUCGAGCAUCUCCGCUCCGGCAGCGACUACACCGUCUCCCUCCGCAUCGCCAUCGAGGGCACAUGGGGCAUCUGGACGGAGCCACAGCGCUUCACAACCGCGCCGAGCCUCGCGCUCACGUUUCUCGAGCGCGGCGAGGACUUCCUUACGUUGAACUGGCCUUCCGCCGAUCUCGCAGCUGAGCUGAGGGAGGACGAUACCAACGGUGCAGCUGCCGAAACACUGCCAGUCUACAACAUCGUCGUCGUGAAGGUGGACGAUCUCGGUGAGCGGACGGUCGUGCUCAACGAGCGCGUCACGCGUGACCCUAGCCAGCGCGGCUUCCGCGUCAACGACCUCGAGGCUGACACAACUUACGACGUGCAGUGCCGAGCGUGGCAGCACAACCCCCUGACCGGAUUUGAGGACUGGGGGGAGAUGUCGACGCCAGUGCGAAUGCGCACGCUGCAGGCCGUCGCCCUGCACGUCUGGGAUGUCGGCGAGGAUUUCAUUCACAUCAUCUGGCGCCGCGGACUGUCGGAGGCAAGCACGGGGCCGGCAGAAACCGCUAGCGCUACCGGUGAUAACGCAGCGGCUGCGGCAGCCGAGUGGGACCACCUGAGGUACGAGGUGGUGAUGGGGUGCGUGGAGACUGGCGAGGACGCGAUACUGCAUCGCCACGUCCUUGACACGAGCUACACCUUUACUCAACUGAAACCGUCGACGACCUACACGAUCGCCGUGCGCGCGUGCGAUGAGCAUGGACAGUGGGGCUUGUGGAGCCGUGCCAAGGUCCGCACGCCCGCCUCUAUGAAGACCACAAUUCACGAGAUCGGCGAGGAUUUUGUGCGGCUGGUGUGGCAGCGGUGCGCUGCGCGGGACGACGCCGAUCUGAGCGGCGUGACGGUGGCCGAUAUGUUCGUCGCCAAGUACAGUAUUCUCGUGUACGGGCGGGAGCUACCUGGUAUGCCGGUGAUGCCGCAUACGCAGAGCGGCUACGAGGCCGGCGGCGGCCGCUCUGACAUUGCCCGAUUCGAAGUUGUGUCGAGCGAGCACACGUCGUUGCGCGUCGGCGACCUUCUGCCCGACCGCGAGUACGUUGCCGUGGUGCGGGCGGCCACGUCGAGCGGGCGGUGGGGACUGUGGAGCCGCCCGGUGCGCUUCCGCACCAACCCGCAGUUCCGCAUUCCGACACAUCAACUGACGAUUGGCGAGAACUACGUGAAGGUUGUGUGGGGCCGUGGUGAGGCAGAGGCGUCUCGGCUGGCACCCGCCGAGCGGGACGACAACAGCGAAGACGGCGAGGUGCACCUCGGCGACUGGAGCAUCACCGGGCAGGAGCUGCGCAUCAGCGGUGUGACGACCCAGUACGCGAGGCAGUACGCCCUUGGCGCGGAUGUGCGGGAGCUGAAGGUGUGUGAUCUGCUACCGGCCAGCGCCUACACGAUUCAGAUUCGAGUGCGUGGGCGUUCGGGCAGCUGGGGCCUGUGGUCCUCUCCGGUACCGAUCCUGACGCGUGGCACAAUCGCCGUCACGACGGACGAGGUGGCCGAGGACUUCAUCACGGUGCGGUGGGAGCGGCGCAAGGUCGCCAAUCCGCAUCAGUACCCCACCGGGCAUGGCGUCGUUACGUCAUAUCACCUGCGCGUCUACAACGCGUAUGAGGUGCACACGGAGACCUUCCUGGGCGACGGUGACUGCCCGUACCGCGUGACGGGGCUCAAGGCGAACACAUACUACUGCGUCGAGCUCAAGGCGAACUACAAUGACGAGGAGUGGGGUCUGUGGAGCGUGCCACUGUGGUGUCUGACAAUGCAGCCCAUGCGAAUUCAUGCCAAGCUCAUCUCAGAGGAGUUUUGCUGUCUGCAGCUCAGACGUCCCAAUCAGCAGCGCCGCCUGCCGGAGGACGACGACAACCCACCAACGGAGGAUCGCGUCCUGGCGCACGGCAGGCUGCGCCCGAUGAUUCUGCUGUGCGUCACGGCACCGGCGUUAUCCAAGGCACCAUACCACAGCGCUGCCGUCGCGCCAGAGCAGUCGAAGGCGGCACUCCUGAACGAUGCUCUGCCACCCGAUGCCACUCAUCAGCGACUCAUCUAUCAGACAGAGCUGCUGAGCAGCGCCGAGACGGUGGAGUACACAGUGCCAAACCUCAAGUGCAACACGGUGUACAGCGUGUCGGUGCGCACGAAGCUGGCAAAUGGCGAGUGGGGCAUGUGGUCCCCGUCGCUCGUUUUCGCCACGGUGCCAGCCAUGCGAAUCUCCUUCACCACCAUUGGCGAGAGCUUCGUCAGCGUGGAGUGGGUGCGGCACUCGCAGGUUGUCCCGCCGCAGAUCGCGAACCCAGAGCAGGUGGUGUUCGGCGUCGCUACGAUCACCGCCUCGCGAGUGCGGGUGCGGGAGAGCGGUGGCGCCUACCAACACACGUACACGGUGGAGGGCGCGACGAGCUCGCUGCGCAUCGACCACCUGACGCCGGCGACCACCUACAUGGUUUGUGUGCAGACCUUCAACGACAACUACGAGUGGGGUGUGUGGAGCGAGGAGCAGAAGGUGCGGACAGUGCCUGGCAUGGACAUCCACGUGCAGCACGUCUCGGAGGAUGCGCUAUGGGUGUCUUGGUCGCGCCGCACCGACCUCGACGUCGCCGGGGACGCCAACACGGUUUUCAACGUCAACAUCUCCGCCCGCGCAUAUGAGGUGUGCCUCAUCGGCGAGGGCGGCUUCACCUACAGGCAGGAGACGGACUCGACAAGUCUGUUUUUUCGCGGGCUGAUGCCGGACGCGGUGUAUACAAUUUACGUACGCGCGCUCUUCGUGCAGUCGGAGUACUGGGGACUGUGGUCGGCGCAGGCCUUUCGCACAAAGCCACGAAUGCGCGUCACGUUUGGCAACAUUGGCGAGCACUUCGUCAUGCUGGAAUGGCGCCGCCACCUGCCGAAACCGACAGACGCGGAAGUGCGACUGCUGCUGGAAGACGACAGCAACGCCGACGUGGCCCACGGCUCGGACGAGUUGCAGCAGAACGGGGUGCUACCGCCUUUGAGUGACGGCGAGUUCGGCAGAAGCGCCGUGACGGCGCUGGCGCGCGCCGUCGCGACCCGCCAGCGAUUUUCCAUCGCGGAGACAGAGGAUGUUGUGCAGCUCUACCGCUUCAAGGUCCAGCGCGUCGGCGAGGCGCACAGCCUGAUCUACAACAUUGCCCCUACCGUGAGUGGGUUCUGCCUUCAUGACCUGCAGCCCUCGUCGGAGUAUCGCGUGUGGGUGUGUGCGAAGGGGCACGAGGGUGUGUGGGGCUUCUGGAGCGAGGACUCGCGUGUGCGCACGCUGCCGCGGCUGAGACUGGAGGUGCUGAAUAUCGGCGAGGACUACGUGCGAGCAGAAUGGAGGCGAGGGGCGUGGGAGGGGGCGUGCAUGGCGGAUGGCGAUGGUGCAGAGGUCCGGCAGGUCGACGGGGCUGUCAGCGGGUACGAGAUUAGGGUACUGGACGGCGCCAGCACGGUUGCCGCCACAACCACGACAACGUUCCGCGAAACCGCCGCCACGCUUUCGGGUCUUCGACUUUCAACACUCUACACGAUCCAGGUGCGGGCCAAGGACACGUACGACGCGUGGGGGCUCUGGAGUGACCCGGUGCCGUUCUACACGUUAAAGCCCGUCGGCGUGAGGCUGCAGCGCGUCGGUGAGACGUUUGUGGACGCGCAGUGGUCGCGUCAGAUGCACCGCCUGCACCCGCAGCACGCGCACGACGAGGUGGCCGAGGCGGGCAGCGACGUGGCAGGGAUGCAGAUGGACGAGAAGGGCGUGCUGCACCCCGAUGAGCGCGUGACGCGUUGGCACUUGCGUGUGUCGUGCAAUCGCGUCUUUGCCGGCAUGCCGCAGACAGACGACUACCGCGAGCUGUACACUGAGGAAGGGGAGCAGGCGCUCCGCAUCGACGGGCUGCUGCCUCACGCCACCUACUCCAUUGCCGUGCGCGGCCUCAACAAUGGCGGUGACUGGGGCCAUUGGAGCCCGGCGGCCGAGGUGACCACGUGCCCGCUGCUGAAAGUCGGAGUGGAGGUGGCUGGGGAGACCUUCCUGCAGCUUGCGUGGCGACGGCCAGCAACGCGGAGCGGACUGGCGACGACGACAGCGGUGGACCAACACGACGACAAGGGCAGCGCUGACGUGAGUGUACCAGGCAGCGAUGGCGGCGUGGAUGACAGCACGCACAGCGAGGUGCAGCUCGUUGAGAACACGUCGCAUGUGUUGAGCACGGCCGUUUCCCACGCCGGCGCAUCGCAUGGCGAGAACGGUGACGACGAGGGUGAGUAUUCCGCGCUACCGUUCUUCCACAGCACGCCGCUUGGGACGUACCUGUGCUUUCCAUCCGACUCAGGGGUGCACAACUUCCAAGUAACGAUCCGCCCGAUGCCGACGGAGUUGGCGUUUGACGAGACGGACGAGCCGCUCGUCGACGGCGCGCGCGUGUAUGAGACAACGCAGCCGGCGCUGCGCCUCGGCAAUCUUUUGCCGGGAACUCGCUACGCCAUAUCGGUGCGAGAGCAGCAGGUGGAUGAAGAGGGUUGCCUUGUCGCGGGCGAGUGGGGCGCACCUUCAGAGGUGGUCUGCACGCAGACGGUGCCCCCGAUGCAGGUAACUACGCAGGAGAUUGGUGAGGACUACUGUAUGGUGGAGUGGCGCCGCGCCGCUGAGGCGCCUGCCGCGGACAACUUCGCGCACGGUGCACCUUCCAUGUCAGCGGAGGGCCGGACCACGGCGGCGGCAGCGAUGCUGACCACCGCUGCCUGGACGAUGGCUUGCUACAAGUCUGUCGAGUUCGAACUGCAAACGCGCCGCCUGAACAUGGACGGGACGUCGCUGCGCGACGACCCUCUCGCCCUGGACUCCGUCGUCUCGCUGCCGAGCAGCGUCAGCACGCACCACAUAUCGGGUCUCGUCCCCAGCAGUGUCUAUGAGGUCCGCGUGCGGGCGAAGAUAGAGAACGCGCAUUGGGGGAUGUGGAGCCCGGCGACGCGCUUCGUGACGCAGAGCCGGGUCGAACUGCACGUCGAUCAAGUGCAGGAGGUGGCGGUGCUUGUCUCAUGGUGCCGCCCGCGUGCAACGCACACGCGCAGCGGCACCAUCAACCACGUGCAGGCCGAGAAGCGCGAGUGGUGCCUGGCAACGGGGUCUGCGGAGAACCAGGAGGACUUAGACAACGAGGAUGCAGCCGAAGAGCAGGUGGAGUUGUCCGGCUCCGAAGUGGCACGUCCCGCGACGACAGCAGGGAUUUUCGGCUCGCAGGUGAUUCAGGCGGACUAUGCAGUGCACGAGUACGAACUCAUCCUUGAAGGAAUCAGCGUCGACGAGCGGCGGCGCCUCACCUUCACGCAGGAAACCCAGUCUACCCUCAUCGAAGACCUUCAGCAGGACCAGUUGUACUGCCUUUCGAUUCGGUCUCUCAGCGAGAAGCAGCACUGGUCGCGCUUCUCGACCAAGGUCACGGUUCUGACGCUGGCCUGCGUACAGGUGCAGGUGGCGCAGCGCACGGAGUGCACCGCGCGGCUGGAGUGGUUCAGGCCGCAACCGGAUGUGGGCAAGUUUACCGAGCUGCUGGCGCGCCACCAGCGAGACGCCUUGCACCAAUGCGACGACCGCGAGCGACGCGAGCUGCUAGAGAUGAAGCGCAAGAUCCAGGAGCAGGAGAGCAAGGGGGAGCCCACGACGGCGGUGGCUGGCUGGACAAACCCGGUGACGCGCGAGGAGCACAACACUCUGCUGCGGGAGGAGGCCACACGGCACUACCAGGCUGAGCACAUCGUGGUGGGCGACGCGGACUGCACCGGCUAUGAGCUACUCGUGACACUGCAGAAGGGAGAAGUCUGCCUGCCCUUCAUCGCCGCCAUCGAGACGCUGCGACGAUGUCGGCCAGGCGGCGUGGCGACAGCGGCGAGCACGCGUGAAGGAAUGAUGGCCGCGAAGCGAAGUGUGCACGCCGGCUCGAUGAUGAACGGCGGCAACCGCGGCUUCGCCAGCGCCGGCAAUGGCAGCUUCCACGACUGCAGGCGCCACGAGCUAGUCAAGACGCCGACGUCCCCUGAUGCAGCGCCCACGGGGAGUCUGCCUGCCAGCACCGACUCUGUCACCCUGCUUAACGUGCAGCUGCGUUCGUGCGUGUCGCAGGUCCUUCUGCAGGGGCUGAGCCCCGACGCCGUCUUCUCGGCGCAGGUCCGCGCGCGCGGUGUGCCGGACUCGUGGCAGCCGUGGAGCCGACCUGCCGUGAUAGAGACGCUGCCUUUGCUACAGCUCGACCAGAGCCGCUUCGGUGAGCACUACAUUAACCUGUACUGGUACCGCGGUGACCCGGGCACGAUGGAUGCGGUGUCGCAGGAGGCGGAAGAGUUCCGACGACUCCAGCGCGAGUUCCACAACUUCACCGAGCGCGGCCUGGAAGAGCAGCGGAGCGUUCUGGGGGCGGCGGCGUACGCGUCACUUGUGAACCGUCUGCGCCGGCUGCGCAUGCUGCGGCGACUCUCCGCGGCUCGCGCGAAGCAGCAUGCGGAUGGCGAGAUGGGGCUGCUGGUGGACCCCUCGUGCCCUGUGCAGGGCUUCCAACUGCGCGUCAUUGAUGAGGUGGGCACCAUCUCGGAGAACUACCUGCCCAACAACCAAUACCACGACCUCACCGCCCCGCCGACGCUUAGCUUUACCGCGACGGGGCUGCAUCCGAACAGCUUGUACGUGUGCUGCCUGUGUCCGUACUACGGCGACGACGUGUGGGGGUGCUGGACGGCGCCGCUCAAGUUCAUGACACAUCACAUCAUUCAGCUCGAAAUGACGUACAUCAGCGAGACCUUCGUUGACCUGCAGUGGUGGCGGCUGGACAACAAGCCGACUUCUCCGCUGGACGAGCACGAUACCCUGCUAAGUAGCCGCUACACAGAGGAGGUGCAGGUAUACCAGCUCCGCAUCACGCACGAAGACGCCGUAACAGGCCAAGAGGUGGAGGAGUUCCGCAAUAUGCGGGCCUGCAACGUGCUGCGGAUCGAUGCCUUGCUGCCCGACAUGAAGUACACCAUCGCCGUGAGGGAGUGGGAUCCAAAGGGCGAUUGGGGCUUGUGGUCGGCCGCGUGCUCGUGCGUCACAUUACCCAGCAUCGAAACGACCGUGACGGAUGUGAAGGAGAGCAGCGCGAGGGUGUCAUGGCGUCGCAUGACGCCGCGAAUCGACUACGAGAACGACAUGCACGUGCUCGAGGACAACUCCGAGAUAACCGGGUUCUACCUGCGACUGGAGGAGGUGCCACUGCGCACGAACUCUGCCGCGGUGUCACCAACGGUGAGGGCUACGUCAGCCCACCGCUCGUCUUCGCCGACGGGCGUCUCUGACCCGUGCUCUGACGGCGUAGAGGUGCUGUCGAUGAGCAUGGGUGACGUCGGGAUGCCGAACAACUCCUUCCACGACGCCACAGGCACGCCUUUAGAAGAGAAGCCGCGGGCCGCCGAAGCUGACGAGCUUGAAGGCACGCUGGCGUUCGGCUUCCAACGCGGCGGCCCUCUGCCACCGGAGGCGCAUCCGCAGCUGCACGACGGGCUUGUGCCCGACAGCGUUGACGACAGCGGCGAAGCGGCCCGGCUGUCACAUGGUCAGUGCCAGCACUACCUGCUCGUGAAGCGGAUCACUUCCAGCACGGAGCUGGAGUCCCACCUCAGCGAUCUGCAUCCCCAGACGGUCUACCGGGUGCAGGUGAUGGCAGAAACGACAGGCGGGCAGGUGGGGCCGUGGUCGCCGCCGCACUUCUUCAUCACCACGCCGCAGCUGCGCCUCUCCGCCGACCUCAUUGAUGAGCACUACGUCUCACUGCAGUGGGGGCGGCGGCCGCUGGCCCCGCUAGCGGCUCAGAUUGGUGGUCGCGGGGUCACCAGCACCAGCGGCGUAGCUGGGUUCUUUUCGGAAAGCAAUACCUUUGAAAGCAUGGAGGGAGGCGGGAACGCGGCGGCGGCUGCAGGCGUGCUGGUGACGCUGCCGACUUCGAAGGUGCUUCACUACGAGCUGGAGGUGCGCGGCGGAGCGGGGACCGACUUCGCGUUCUGUACCCGCAUUGAGUCGGCUGCCGCAAGCGGUGCCUUUCGCGUCACGGGGCUGGCCAUGGACUCUGUGUACGUCGCGCGAGUUCGCUCCUUCAGCGACGCGGGAGAGGCCAGCUUCUGGUCGCCUGUGCUCACCUUUGUGACGCUCCGGCAGCUGGUCGUCCACCCGCAAGAGAUCACCGAGAACACAAUCGAGAUGAACUGGGCUCGCCCCGAGCAAAUCCCACAGCAGUACCUGGCCUGCGCGGCCUUCGAAACGGCGGCCGGCAUGGAGACGAACGCAGCGCUGGCUGCUGUGCCAGCGAUGUCGGAGGCGUCUGCCUCAGUCACUACGCUGGUGUUGCAGUCGGCGCCGGCUGCAAUGCGCAGCCACCGAGUGGUGUGCGUCGGCGACCGCGAAGCCGUGAAGUACCAGGUACGUGUCUAUCACGCCACGGAGCAGACGGCACCGCGGAUGCUCAUGGACAAGCACCUUAACGGCAACGUCACGAAGUUUCUGGUGCACUCGCUUGCUCCGAACAGUGUGUACCUGCUCUACGUGCGUGCCAUCAACUGCGACGGUGUGUGGAGCGAGUGGUCGGAGGGGCGCUGCGUCUACACGAUGAAGCCGUUGGUGUCCAGCAUUGCCACCGUCGGCGAAGAUUUCGUUCGUGUGCGAUGGUCCCGCGAAGCUCCAGAGGAGCUGCACUACACACUGAGCACGGCGAACACCGCCACGGCUGCAGGAGGCCACAGGCGCAGCGUCGCCGCCGCCGCGACUGACGCGGAUGGAGAGGGUGAGGAGGACGAGGCGACGGAGCACGUCGAACGCCCGCUGCCGGACGACGCUGACACUGACGCGCAGGCGAUCUCGCCGAACAAGCCAAGCACGGACUCACCAGACGUGUCACGGAUGUGGCAGCACGAGCGUCGCUUCCGUCUGCACGAUCAACCUGCCGAGGUCGGCGUUGUUUACUGCAGCGCCCUCACGUCGAUUCAGUCCUUCACCAUCUCCGUCCGCCGCUCGGAUGAGGCGGAGGGGUGCACGGUCGAGGUACCCGGGCACGUGAGCAAGCACACGCUGCCGGCGCUGCAGCCCGACUGCGUUUACCUCAUCUGCGUCCAGGCCCAGUACCGGAGCGGGGAACGCGGCCCGUGGAGCGAUGUCGUGCUUAGCGGCACCUACAACCUGUUGGCCAUGGACGUCAAGGAGGUCGGCGAGGACUACGUCUCGGCCAGCUGGCAGCGCAAGCCGAACACGAUCCACAUGGCAUCGCUGCAAAUUGGCCAGGUGGAGGAGACGGUGUGCUACGAAGUGCGGAUUCGCGAUUACACGGACGUCCCACUCGGCGAGGAGGAGGGCGGGGCGGCUCAGCACCGCGACAGCGAGGGCCGCAGCGUCUUCUUGCACGCGAAUCAGCGCCACAGCAUCCUGCGCGAGCUGCUAUCGAACCAUCGGUACCGCCUCUCUGUGCGGCGCUGGUAUCGUCCACGCGACGGCUUCGCAAAAACCGCUAUGACGACGGCCCCAGCGACAUCGACCUCGACGACGCGCAGCUCCGUCUCCAACGCUUUAGAGGGGCACAGGAGCGUUGGUGAGGACAACGACCAAGACGGAGCAGGUGAUGAGGAGCAGAAAAGGACGACAGAGGAGGUGGAGGAGAUGCCGCUGCUGCCCGCCGCGCCGACGGUGCUGCAGCUGUACGAGCAGACAACCCACACUGUGAUGGACGCGGCUCUGCGCGAGUCGAUGGAGAAGGCGAAGGCUGCCCCGGGUGUGUGGAGUGACUCCGAGUACGUCGUGACGCUGCGCGACAUGGUAUGCUCGGUGGAGCGGGUUGGCGAAGAGUACUUCCAGCUCCUCUGGGCUCGCGACCCGCGCGCUAUACCGCUGCCGGUGCGCCGUGCCAUGCCGGUGAAGCCGGUCCAGAACUACCAGCUGCGCAUCGACGAGCUGCUGCGCAACGGGUCAGGGGUGGAGACGAGCCGCGGCAGCAACACGCUGCACCUGGACGAGCUUAUGGCGCCCACAGAGACAUCGUACUUCAACAAGGCGCUAAAGCCGAACACGCUCUACAAGGUGGAGGUGCGGUGCUGCAUCGAAAAGAUGUGGGGCCGAUGGAGCCGCCCGGUGUACAUCAUCACGCAGCCGUGCCUGCAGGUGGAGGUAAGCCGCAUUGGCGAGGAGUGCGCGACAAUCGCGUGGCACAGACCCCGCGAGGGGCUCACACUGCCUGACGGUGAGGUGGCCGUGAUUGGGGACGAGGAGGAGGUGGACGGCUCGUAUCAGCUGGAGCUGUCUGGGGUAUGCUUCAACUACCAGAUAUCCAAACGCUUCAAGGCGUCGCGCACAAGCUACACAGUGAAGCACCUCGACGCGGACGCGCUCUACUCGGUGCGUGUGCGCUCCGGCGAUGGAAUUAACCAGGCUUGCAGCCUGUGGAGCGCCACAACGUGCUUCGCUACGUUGAAGCCGAUCCAGGUCGUGGUGUCAAUGCCAACCGAGCAGUUCGUCCAUGUGGAAUGGCGCCGGCCCACACAGACCGCCGAGGAGUACGCUGAGCGACUCGAGCAGCAGGCGGGGCCAGCAGCGGCGCCGUCACUGACCCUCGCUGCGAAUGCCGCCGCUGUGCAGUCGCAGCAGCAGCAAGACAGCGGCGAGGGCACCCGCAGCGAAUCAGUAUCCCCCACGGGGUCGGCGCCGCACCCGAGCGGCGCUGUGCAACUUGGCAACCCCGGCUCUCUCGCGUUCCACUUAUGCGUCUUCAACACGCAGAAGACACCGUCCGUGGCGGUGGUGGACAAGCAGUUCCACAAGGACGUGUCGCACUACCGCGUCGGUGGGCUGGUUGCCGACACACCAUACGCUAUCAUCGUUCGCGCCUGCUGCGAGGCCACCAAUGACUGGGGUCUCUGGAGCGAGGAACGCACCUUCCGCACGCUGAAGCUGCUGGCGCCGACGGUCUCGAGCGCUGGCGAGACGUACGCGGAGCUGACGUGGGAGCGGAGCGAGAGCGAUUCGCGCGGCGCCGGCGGUGGCUCUGUAGGGUCUCCCAGCGCCGCUUUAGGCGCGCCUACACUGCCGACGAAGUAUCUCCUGGUCAUCCGUUCCACGCAAGCCGGCAUACUUGAGCGCGAGAUAUCGGCCGAGGAGUGUCGUAACACGGCGACGCCGAUGCAGGAGGGAUACCUGGAUUCCUCGUACCGCCUGACCCAGCUCCAGCCGGGCACCGAGUACGUCGUCGCACUGCAGCCCUGCUACGGCGGUGGCGACUGGGGCUUGUGGUCACAAGCAGCUACCUUCACUACGUUGUAUCCGGUGAAGCUGACGGCGAAAAUCACCAAGGAUACGGUGGACCUCAGCUGGGGCCGCUGCCGCCCUUCGUCGGCCGUCGGCUUUGUGGAAGACGUCGACUUUACCGAAGCGGGGACAGUAGGACCUUGCAGUGGCAACUCCACUGGCGUGUCACAGGAGCCCGCGGCGGCCGGCACGAUGCCCGCCGGUUCCCGCUCCGUGUCACGCUACCAGCUCGUGGUGUACUCGGAGGCCGACAUGGCUGCCCUGCAUUCGUGCGCGUCAUCGAUGGAGGGCAGCUUGGCGCAGCAGCACUUCUCCAGCUUACUUUUCUUCCCAAGCACGGCACCCAGUCAGGAGGGACGCCCUGGCGAACGCAGCGCCGCUGCGGCGCCGCACCAGAGAAGCAGCCUGAAGCACCGGCAACGGCAGGAAGGGGCUGCGAUCCACACGGCUGCACGACUUCACAGCAGCCUCAGCGGCUCCCUCGACUCACUGACGAACGCCGCCCAGACGACGAUCCCAGACAUGGAUGUGGCGGCACUCGCCAACCUCGAUGGCGGCAAAGCCUUGCCUUCGCCGUCCAAGGAAUCGCUCUUCCUAAAGCAGUACGACUUGACGGAUGCAGCGGUCUCAGCGGCGCUGCACAGUCCCCACCUCCAGGGCAACAGCCCCCGCGGCGGCACUUCUGCCCUCGCCGGAACAUGGUCCUCCACAUCCUCGAUGCAUGAGCGCAUUGAGGGGCUCACACCGGACACGACGUAUGUGGCGCGCCUCCGCGCAAUGGACCUAUUCGGGAACUGGGGUACGCCAGUAGAGGUGCGGUUCGUGACACCGCCGCCGGCCCCGACGCAGGUGGUGCUGCGGCGCGUGAAUGCACAGUUUUGCUCGCUGCAGUGGUCCACUCCGGAGGGGGCCGCUGCCGAGACGGAGUCUGCCGCGCCGCGCGGAAGCUACCGCUACGUCAUUGAGCAGUGCUUUGUGCAGACCGAUCGGCCACUGUCGGCCGGCACCACCAUCAUCGGCGGCGGCGGCGGUGGCGGUGGCGCGAGUGCGCGCAAGGCUGGUGGGGCAGGCGCUUCUAGCGGGCCCGUGGCCACCCUCGCAGCGGCUGGAUGGCACGUCAUAGACACCGUCGAGGACACAAACGUCUGCGCUGUGCUGAUCAGUGGCUUACUCUCACGUAUGCGAUGUCGCGUCAAGUGUGCGCGACGCAUUGCGGCGGCGUCCGCCCACGACGCAGGCUCCGGAGCCGUCACUGCGGUGCCGGUGCCAGACGACCACCUCGGCCCGUACAGCGACUACUCGGAGGCAGUCGCGGUGUCCAGCGGCACCCCGCCGGAGGGCGUGGUGGAUCUACAUCUCACGACGCUGUCGCAGAAUGCCGCCACGCUUGAGUGGCUGCCGCCACCAAAACCGUCCGAGGCUGCUGCGGGACGCUACACCCGCCCCGUCUACCGCAUAUACCUGGCGAAUACGACAGACCAGCCGUACCCUGUGCUGCUCGCCACAGUGCACCGGCCGACGUACGUCCUGACAAACCUGACGCCGUCCACGACGUACACGGUGCAGAUCGUCGCCGAGAACCCCGACGGCGUGAGCUUCCUUAACCCGAUACUGCGUUUUCACACCAAGUCCGAGGAGGACCAGACGGUCUCGCGGCGCGGCGAAGGCGGCGAUACAAGCGGUGGGGCAGCGGAGCAGGCAGCGCCGCUGGCCGAGCUUGUACCGUUCCAUGGCCUCCGCGCUGCGCUGACCGAUGACGGCCCCGCUGCGGUGGACGGCGGCGCCGACGUCGCUGAUAUUCCUACGGCUGUGCGGCGGUCUCUGCUGCUGCCAACUCUGCCGGCGUCUCAUCGGCGACGCGGCGGACGCGGUGGUGCGGCGGGGCGGGCCCCCCGAUCGAGCUCGAAGCGGAAGGCAAUCAGUGGCUCAGGCCAUGCGAAGACGCGGGGCUCGUCUGGAGCGACCGGCAGGGGCGCAGGAAAGCACAAGUCUCGCACCCGCCGCCGCUCUUCAUCGGCCGUGGGCUCUAAGCGACUCAGCAACGCGGCGCCCGAAACAACCCGCGAGGCACCGCCGACAGCUGGCAGCUUCCUCCCUCAACUCGCUAAGACCUUGUAGCCCUCUCCCCUCCGCCCUCAGCAACCGUCGUGGAGCGUGUCGGUGCCUCUCUGUAAGUGUGUUUCAUUGUGUUGGCUCACUGCUGACGGCACGUGCGUUCGUGUCGCACUCUGCUCGACUAUCUCACGUGUGGCACGCAUACCGAUGCCCCAUGUGCGCGUUGUACUCCCUUUCUUCUUUCGUUGUGUGCCCUUCUCGGCAUACACGUUACCUCCGCUCUCCCGCGACCCGCCUUUGCCCACCAACGCUGCGGCUUCGCUUCUUUUUUUUUUCGGCUUUCUCCCACUGCCUUCGUUCAUGAAGCCCCUCCCUGGACCUCUGGCGCCUCACUCGGCCGGGCACGCGCGCAGCAUACAGAGAAGUUGUGCAGGCCACGUUAUAGCUGCACAUGCACCGUUGGAGCGGCGGCUUUCGCUGUGUUUGGUGCACCAGCUGUGGUCGACUGAUGAGUGGGAUGUGGAGAGAUGCUUGACUUCUAUUUUUUUUUUUUCGCUUUGGACGUUGUAUCAUCCUCCAGCGCGUGCUGGCAGCCAUUUGUGCAUGCAUGUCGGGGAUACACGUGCACACUACUCAUGCGCGACUCUUGUUGAGACGGCUCGCCUUCUGGCAGAGGCGAUCCGUGGGCGUGGGUCCUCGUGCGUGUGCGUGUGGUGUGCAGGCCUGUGCACCGCAGACGUUGAACUACUCCACUUUUCUUUGUGCGACCAGCUACGGCGUGCCCUCCGCCUCCUCACGCGCUUCUCCUUACACAGACACCUGACGCACGCGUGGGGGAGGGGGCGGGGAGGAGCUGCGUUGGAUGGACUUCCCCUUCUUUUCCCUUUCCCUUUGUUUCUCUCGGUGCAGUCCGAGUGAUGUACAUUGACUGGUAUGAUGAUCCACCGCGAGGUGGAACGCAUCGCCGUGCACACGGCACGCCGCUGUCACGAUCGCCCGCACUACUAGCGCUACCCGUGCGCUGGCACGGAAAUGUGGGUGUGGGGCUCCGCGCCUUUUCCCUUUUUAUGUGUUUUUCUCUUUUUGUGUCUCCCCCCGCCUGGCACUGUGUCUGUGAUGACGAUGAUGCGUGAGGUAUGUGUGGGGGUGGGGGUGGGUGGGAGACGUGCGCGCGUGCGUGCGCCCUUCCACUUCCCUUUGAACGCUCACGCCGAGUCGCUCUUUGCUUUCGUUUCUUCGCGCUCCCUCGUGGCACGACGUGCACAGACAUCCAUACAUCUCCCACUCUCUCUCUAUGUCGGUGUGCGUGUGCACACACACACACACACACAUAUAUAUAUAUAUAUAGAUGUAUGCAUGCAUACGCGCGUAUAUAACUGCAUGGCGUGUGGAUGUGAAGCCAUCUGGUUUGUCACGCCCGCAGGUGGGCUUGUGUGUGCCUGCGUGCGUGUGCACGUGAGUGUCGUUUGCCAUUAUCGUUUAGUGACGCCGAUCGAUGCCCCCCCCUCUCCCCCUCUUCUCUCGGGCGUUUGCUUUGGCUUUGUUCGAUGUCCGUCAUGUACAGCGUAGAUUUCGUCCGUGUCUUUUGAACUCGCCACCCUCUCCCCCCGAAGCUCGCAAG